UACGUAGGGUGCGAGCGUUAAUCGGAAUUACUGGGCGUAAAGCGUGCGCAGGCGGUUUUGUAAGCCAGAUGUGAAAUCCCCGGGCUCAACCUGGGAAUGGCAUUUGGGACUGCAAGGCUGGAGUACGGCAGAGGAGACUGGAAUUCCUGGUGUAGCACUGAAAUGCGUAGAUAUCAGGAGGAAUACCGAUGGCGAAGGCAGGUCUCUGGGCUGAUACUGACGCUCAUGCACGAAAGCGUGGGGAGCAAACAGG
rnacentral:rRNA from 1 species